UACGUAGGUGGCGAGCGUUAUCCGGAUUUAUUGGGCGUAAAGGGUGCGCAGACGGUUUGUUAAGUCUAAGAUGAAAGCCCGGAGCUUAACUCCGGUUUGUUUUAGAAACUGGCAGGCUUGAGUAUGGUAGAGGCAAAUGGAAUUCCUAGUGUAGCGGUGGAAUGCGUAGAUAUUAGGAGGAACACCAGUGGCGAAGGCGGUUUGCUGGGCCAUUACUGACGUUCAUGCACGAAAGCGUGGGGAGCAAAUA
rnacentral:rRNA from 1 species